UUCGUUACGACAUUGCUCACAUUGCUUCCAGUAUUACUUGCCCGCCUUCCGGCGGGCUUUUUUU
rnacentral:antisense_RNA from 1 species